rnacentral:rRNA from 1 species
CCUACGUGAGGCUGCAGUGGGGAAUAUUGGGCAAUGGGCGCAAGCCUGACCCAGCAACGCCGCGUGACGGAAGAAGGCUUUCGGGUUGUAAACUUCUUUUGUCAGGGACGAAGCAAGUGACGGUACCUGACGACUAAGCCACGGCUAACUACGUGCCAGCAGCAGCGGUAAUACGUAGGUGGCAAGCGUUAUCCGGAGUUACUGGGUGUAAAGGGCGUGUAGGCGGGACUGCAAGUCAGAUGUGAAAACCACGGGCUCAACCUGUGGCCUGCAUUUGAAACUGUAGUUCUUGAGUACUGGAGAGGCAGACGGAAUUCCUAGUGUAGCGGUGAAAUGCGUAGAUAUUAGGAGGAACACCAGUGUCGAAGGCGGUCUGCUGGACAGCAACUGACGCUGAGGCGCGAAAGCGUGGGGAGCAAACAGGAUUAGAUACCCGAGUAGUC